UAUACUCACUAGCCAGGACACAUCAUAAGACAAGAAAGAGAAAAUCUGAAACCUGUCAUGGAUUAUUUGGCUAAGGCAUAUCAACUGCCACAACAACGGGUAUAGAAGAAAGGAAGCGUGAUGGAAGGAAAGGACUGGAUGAAUCAGAAAUCUGCAUUAGGGGAAAAUGCUGGUCUAACCUCGGUUUUGUUGUAAUACUUGCCAUUCUUUCCUUUUUGACAAGUAUAAAGGACUGCUUUGAGACCUUCUCUAGCACAUGGAGAUAUGGUGACUUUUGAGGCUCUGCUGCUGCUGCUGCUGCUGCUAAGUCACUUUAGUCGUGUCCGACUCUGUGCGACCCCAUAGACGGCAGCCCAUCAGGCUCCCCUGACCCUGGGGUUGUCCAAGCAAGAACACUGGAGUGGGUUGCCAUUUCCUUCUCCAAUGC
rnacentral:lncRNA from 1 species